rnacentral:lncRNA from 1 species
CAGCUGAUUAAAUUCUAGUUCCCCAUGAUGCAUGGAACUUGCUUGAGGACUGGUGGAGUACCUAGACUAUAGACUUCAUUCUGAAAUCCCACCAACUCCCAAAGAACCCAUCAUACAGCCCAUGAUGCAUGCACACUCCAGGUACCACUACCAUAUGACUACAGGCCCAACCACCACCUCUUGAAAGCCAGAGUGGACCUACCUCUCUUGAGGCUGGCCUUGUAGCCAAUCUAGUUGGCUUCUGUGUGUUCCAUAGCCUUGCCAUGUGCCUUGGACCAUGCAAUAUUGAU